UUCACUUCUCAGCCUUUUGGCUAAGAUCAAGUGUAGUAUCUGUUCUUAUUUUAAAAAAUUAAAAAAUAAUGACAUUGUUUUAUCACUACAGACGCAGCAUACAUUUA
ensembl:snRNA U2 U2 spliceosomal RNA